CGUAACAUCCAGACGUCUCCGAAGAAGUCUUAACAUUUUUUCCUGUGAUAUAAAGACGUUUUUUCCUUCCUUCAGGCAUUGAAUUAAGCCUCUGAAAGAACAUAGACUAAAGAGUUAACGAAGGAUCUACUUACCUUUGAAGAUACUAUUUCAUGAGAUCGCUUGAUAAAUGAACGAUAGAUAUUUUAUUCACUUUUACGAUUUUACAUUUAUAUGUCUGAACUGUGCACUUGGAAACUAAGUGGGAAACCAGCCAACCGUAAAUAUGUCUAAAUUUGACGAUUUACUCCAGCAACUCGGUACAGGGAAAUGGAACCUGUUGAUCGUGAUCUCUGUGGGUUAUUGGGUGUUCCAAAUACCCUGCCACAGCAUGGGGGCGGCCUUCCUCACCCCAGACUUGAACUUCAGCUGUCGAAUCCCUCCUGAAGCAAAUGUCGAUAUUCAGGCGGAUAAUGAGACAAGGUGACUGAUCCUUAUUCUCUCACCGGUGUGUCUCUCAUUUUAAGUAAUUACGGCAAACACAUGCAUUAGAAAUCAAUAUGAAAGGGAAUUUACUACUUGACAAAAAUGAUUGGUAUAAUGCAUACCCUAACUUAAAUCUGUGUCUUUAUUCCUGUUCAGUGACAUCAAACCGUGCAUAAAUAACAUGAGAUGUGAUUUUUAAAAUUUGCUUUUCAAUGAAAUUUCGUUCUGAAAAAUACAUUUACAUGCAUUGUCAGCACUCUAAUAAAGCAAUAUUGAUAACUUUA